UNGCAAGGGCAGAAAUGGUAGGGCCUCCU
rnacentral:piRNA from 1 species